CCCCCGCCCUGCCCAAUCCGUGUCAUUCAGUUGCUCUAUAUGAAGUUUUUGAGCAAUUCAUACUGCAAACUCUCCAUUUUCUGAUUGUGUUUUACGUUUCCUUCUUAGUCGACUAUUAAAUUUACAUGAUUUGUGGUUGUAUUAUGUGCCAACUCCAACCAGUUGAAGAUUGAAAUUCGGUUGCAUUAGGUCGAACUAAGUUACAAUUCUUAUUGCAUAUGCUAAUAAACAAUUUAUCUACUAACCCAAAAAAAAAAAAUCUAUAUAAUAUUCUAUCAGAUUAAGCUCGCACAGGAACUCCAAGAACUUGUUUCAUCACACAAGGUCACAACCACGCAUGACAUGCACAAAAGAAUAAUUGGUUGCAUAUCUGAAUUCUUCAAUGUUUGGCACUGCAGGCUGAAAGAUCUUCACCAGAGGUGCACAAA
rnacentral:misc_RNA from 1 species